UCGCUUUGGGAGGAGCUCGCUUACUAUCAGCUUGUUGGUAGGGUAAUGGCCUACCAAGGCUAUGACGGUUAGGGGGUGUGAGAGCAUGACCCCCAGCAUUGGCACUGAAACACUGGCCAAACACCUACGGGUGGCUGCAGUCGAGAAUCUUCCACAAUGGGGGAAACCCUGAUGGAGCGAUGCUGCGUGCGGGAUGAAGGCCUUCGGGUUGUAAACCGCUUUUGUAGGGGACGAAAUUUUUGACGGUACCCUUUCGAAUAAGAGGUUGCUAACUCUGUGCCAGCAGCAGCGGUAAUACAGAGACCUCAAGCGUUAUCCGGAUUUACUGGGCGUAAAGCGUCUGUAGGGGGUUUAUUAAGUUCCAAGUAAAAUUUCAAGGCUCAACUUUGAAUUCGCUUGGAAAACUAAUAAACUGGAGUCUAGCAGAGGUGCAUGGAACUUGUGGUGUAGGAGUGAAAUCCGUUGAUAUCACAAGGAACACCAAAGGCGAAGGCAUUGCACUGGGCUAGCACUGACCCUGAGAGACGAAAGCGUGGGGAGCAAAACGGAUUAGAUACCCGUGUAGUCCACGCCCUAAACGAUGAAUGCUAAAUGUUCGGGGAUUCGACCCCCUGGGUGUUACAGCUAACGCGUUAAGCAUUCCGCCUGGGAAGUACGGCCGCAAGGCUAAAACUCAAAGGAAUAGACGGGGAUCCGCACAAGCGGUGGAGCGUCUGGUUUAAUUCGACAGUAGGCGUGGUACCUCACCAGGGUUUGACAUCCCUUGACAGCCUUGGAAACAAGGUUUCCUUCGGGCAAGGUGACAGGUGCUGCAUGGUCGUCGUCAGUUCGUGCCGUGAGGUGUUCCGUUAAGUCGGGAAACGAACGAAACCCCUAUUGCAUGUUACAAUUUCUCAUGCAAGACUGCCCGGAUAUACUGGGAGGAAGGUGGGGAUGACGUCUGAUCUGCAUGGUCCUUAUACCCUGGGCGACACAGGCGCUACAAUGGCAGAGACAAAGGGUUGCAAAACCGCAAGGUGAAGCUAAUCCCAAAAACUUUGUCUAAGUUCGGAUUGAAGGCUGCAAUUCGCCUUCAUGAAGCUGGAAUCGCUAGUAAUCGUGAAUCAGCCACGUCACGGUGAAUAUGUUCCCGGAUCUUGUACUCACCGCCCGUCACACCAAGAGAGUUGGUAGCUCCCGAAGCGUCCCGUUUUAGCGGGGCAUCACGGAGAGAUCAGCGAU
rnacentral:rRNA from 1 species